rnacentral:rRNA from 1 species
UGGGGAAUUGUUCGCAAUGGGCGCAAGCCUGACGACGCAACGCCGCGUGGAGGAUGAAGGUCUUCGGAUUGUAAACUCCUGUUGAUCGGGACGAAAAGCUUCAACCCAAUACGUUGAAGACUGACGGUACCGGUUGAGGAAGCCACGGCUAACUCUGUGCCAGCAGCCGCGGUAAUACAGAGGUGGCAAGCGUUGUUCGGAAUUACUGGGCGUAAAGGGCGCGUAGGCGGCCUUCUAAGUCGGACGUGAAAGCCCCAGGCUUAACCUGGGAACUGCGUCCGAUACUGGGGGGCUUGGAUUCGGGAGAGGGAUGUGGAAUUCCAGGUGUAGCGGUGAAAUGCGUAGAUAUCUGGAGGAACACCGGUGGCGAAGGCGGCAUCCUGGACCGAGAUCGACGCUGAGGCGCGAAAGCUAGGGGAGCAAACGGG